UCUCAGUUGAGCUUAAACUUCGUUACGAUAUCUUUUUUUCACUACGCGUCGGGUUAAGAAAUUAUUCUGCGGGGUUCUCAGCUCUUCAACGCUAUUAAUUCACGAAGCCAGCCUAGGGGUACAAAUCAAAUAGAAAUUGAACGCGAAAUCUCUACCUGUUAAAUCGUACGAUUUAUAAUAACAAACGAUCUUCCAACCAACAACAAUAAUUCAACUGUACAACUGAAGCUGAAUAAAAUUUACAUAAUCAAUUUUAUAUUUGUCCAUCGUGUGACGGGGUAAAAUGAGUUAUAUUAUCGAUCGACAUCAUGAUUUUACACUGAUGGUCACUUACCGUACCUGUAACUCCAAACGAGCAUUCAAAUGAGUGUUUUCGACUUGACGCCGGGCGCACAAACUGAAGAGGCUUGCACACAACUUCCAAUCAUAAUUCGGUAGGGCUGAAAUAUUCCGAUAAUUGCCAAAGUCAAUCAAGUGAAUUUUCUAUAAACGCAAGACAGCAGCGGAUGAGAGACAGAGCCGGAAGAGCCGGGUGCCCAGCUAGACGCAGGACUGCCGACUACCCGAAUAUCAGGUAUCGAAGUAAAAAAAAAGAGAGAAUCAACUACGAGAGGACUAAGACGAAACAAAGAAAAGAAGUUGAGACGACCCGGACAUACAAGACCGAUAAGGACCAAGAGGACUCAUACAGGACAAACGACGAAGGAAGAAUCAACGUAAAUCGCGAUAGGUAUUGCGUAAAAUAUUCCAGGCAGAAAGACCGGAAUAUUUAUUAAUUAAAUACGCAGUCAUACGUCGUGUCCGCGGAGUGUUAUAUCAAUAUACGUGCAUUAAAUCGAAAACCAGAAUUAGAUAUAGCUUGUUCCGUUAAAUCCAGGGAUGGAGGCCGGAUUUACUAUGCAAUAGAAAUUUCCAGGCAGUUCGUGUGAACCACGUGCCAGGAGAUUUCUUGCAGAAUUUAGUGUCCGAUCUAGUCAUAAAUAAUUGAGUAUUAAAAUUAGAAUAAAUUAAUUAUAAUUAAAUUAAAAAAGUAAAUUGAGUAAAAUGGAUUGAAAGAUUAACUAAUGAUAAAAGUGUCGGAAAGUCAACGUGAGCAUUAAUGUUCAAGUUUUGAGUAUUGUGUAUAGAGUCGGUGAUCAAAUAUUAAUGCGUAAGAAUAAUUGAGGAAAUUAUUAGCUCGGCUUAUCAAAUUUAUUAUUAAAUUGAUAUAAGUUAAAUAUGAUCGUAGGUAAUUAAUUAAUUAUAUUGAUUUAAUUCGGAAAAUGAGUGAAAUGGAAUUUAAUAUAGUUAAAAGUGUGUGAUUUGUAAAAAGCGUAAUUAUAAAGUUAGUGAUAACGCCGGGGGCCAAGAUUGAUACUGAAAUAAUAAAUAAGUCUUAAUCACGUAGGAAGUCCAGGGGACCGCGUGAGAUAUGUUAAGGUUAAUCACGUAGAGGGUCGAGAUGACCGCGUGAAUAAGUUGUUGAGUCGUUUAGAGGGUCCAGGGGAUUGUGCGAUCUAGGUAUAAAGCUUUAGCCACGUAGAGGGUCUGGGUGACCGCGUGGAAUAGGUUGAUAAAAGUCGCGUGUUAUGUGUAAUAAAGUCCAGGAGACUCAAUGUGUGUGUGUGUGUGUGUGUGUGUGUGUGUGUGUGUGUGUGUGAUAGUCAAAGAUAGUUGACUUUAUAAAAGAUUGUUGGGUUAAUGUAUUAUAAGGUUUAAAAUAAAGUACGUGAAAUGUAGUUGACUAGUUAAGGUGAUCGAUUAAUGUUAAAAAGGUUUAAAAUAAGUUGUCGAAGGUAAUUGACUGAAUAAAUAAAGAGUAAAAAUAGU